GCCUUCGUGGUGUAAUGGUCAGCACACUCGGCGCGUAUUCUAAAGGUCCGAGGUUCGAGUCUCGGCGAGGGCA
rfam:Stegodyphus mimosarum contig57303, whole genome shotgun sequence.